GGCCGGAUGGUCUAGGGGUAUGAUUCUCGCUUUGCGUGCGAGAGGUCCCGGGUUAAAAUCCCGGUUCGGCUA
rnacentral:tRNA from 1 species